AGUCGUUCUGCCCAUUGUUUUUAAAAGGCUGCGGUAUAUUAACUGUACAAAGGUAGCAAAAUAAAUAGUUUUUUAAUUGAAAACUUGAAUGAAAGAGUUGAUAAAAUAUAAAUUGUCUUAAAUAUUGAAUUUAAAUUAAAAGUUAAAAUGCUUUUAUAUUUUUAUUAGACGAUAAGACCCUAAGAAUUUUAUUAUUUAUUUUAUUUUUAUAAAUUUAUAAAGAAUGAGUAAUUUUAUUGGGAGGGUAAAUAAAUUGAACUUUAAUUUACUUAAAUAUUUUUUGAUAAAUUUAAUGAUUAUUAUUAAGAUUAUAAGAAUUAAUUACCUUAGGGAUAACAGCGUAAUAAUUUUGGAGAGUUCAUAUUGAUAAAAUUGUUUGCGACCUCGAUGUUGAAUUAAAAUAAAAAUUGAAUGGAGAAAUUCAAAUUUUUAGUCUGUUCGACUAUUAAAAUUUUAC
rnacentral:rRNA from 1 species